UCUCCUCACAGAAUGAGAAGGGUUUAGGCCAUAGUCCACCACGCCGAUCAAGUGCAGAUUGAUAGACUUCA